CAGAAAAUAGUUUAUAAAAAUUUUAAUUUUGGAGAUUAAAGAUAAGAAAGAAAUUCUUUUUUCUGA
rnacentral:tRNA from 1 species